AGACGUUCUCAGGGCGGGGUGGAAGUCCCCACCGGCGGUGAGGGUGGCGCAAGCCGUCCGCAGCCCGCGAGCGCCUCCUCCGGGAGGGUCAGCAGACUCGGUGCGACUCCGGGGCCGACGGUCACAGUCCGGAUGAGAGAGAACGAUC
rnacentral:ncRNA from 1 species